rnacentral:snRNA from 1 species
AUACUUAUCUGGUUUUGGAGAUACCAUGAUCAUAAAGGUAGCAAUUUUUAUCACUUCCCAAGGUGAUUUUUAUCUAUUAUAAAAAUUUCCCAAAUGUGGAAAACUCCAUAAUUUGUGGUAUUAGGGGACAAAAUUUGUGCUUUCCCUUG